CACGUAGGGCGCAAGCGUUGUCCGGAAUUAUUGGGCGUAAAGAGCUCGUAGGCGGCCUGUUGCGUCCGCUGUGAAAUCCCGGGGCUCAACCCCGGGCCUGCAGUGGAUACGGGCUGGCUAGAGGCAGGCAGGGGAGAACGGAAUUCCUGGUGUAGCGGUGAAAUGCGCAGAUAUCAGGAGGAACACCGAUGGCGAAGGCAGAUCUCUGGGCCGUUACUGACGCUGAGGAGCGAAAGCGUGGGGAGCGAACAGG
rnacentral:rRNA from 1 species